AAUUCACACAUAAUGUGUCGGACUUUUUGAAACUUUCAUUAUGAUUAAAAAUUAGAAUUUCUUAUGAAUCUUAAAUUAUGUAAUAAAUAGUUUAGAAGAGAUAAAAGAAAUUUGUUUUUAGUAUUAUAUUGUGGUUAACGAAGCAGCUAAAAAGUCCUUCGUGUCAGUUGCAACAACAAUUAAAGCAGCAGGAAACAGCCAUGUACGCAUGCAAGUGAUUGUUAUGAGGAUUGCAAAAGUUUUAAAUAACAGAAACUGAAGAAGGCAUUGAUAAUCAGCAUAUAAUAAAAAAAGCAAAAGUACUGAUUAUACAAAUCAUUUAAAGUUGAGGAAGAAUUUUAGGUUAAUGCUAAUGCAAUAGGUACGAAAAUUCAUAGGUUAGCUAAUUUGAUGUUACAAUUAACAUGAAAUAAAGUUUGUGAAGACCUUAGUGCUAGAAAUACUUGCAUGCAUUAAGUUAAGAUUAUGCAAUUAAACGAUCACUACUUCCACAGCCACCUUGUCUCAAGCAUUCAAUUGCAUUCUAAGAUAUCUUUGUUCAAAUCAAGUGUGACUACUAUACCAAAAGUCUGUAAAAUGGACCAAUCAACUAACCCAUCAGUACUAGCAAAGUCUCUUUUUCUGUUUGCUCGAAAAUUGUGUUCUAAAAUACCAUUAUUCACAUAACUACUAUAUCAAAACACAAACUAAUGGAUUGAUCAAGAAGGGCACUGCAGUUGUCCUGCAGUUAUGCAACUUAUCAACCCAUAACUGCGAUAACUACAAGUUUUUUUAAUAAGAAAAAAGAUUGUAUGACUUCGGUAUCGCAAUAUGGUAUCGUGCAUUGGUUCUUAUCUUAGAAUGGCUCCCUUCCGUAUAGGUGGAAAUAGGAAAGGUUAUGUCUUUUUUUCUAAUUCUUAAGACGAAGAGGCUUAAUCAGUUCAAGCAAAGAUUACAACGAUCAUUAUGGAGCCGAUCAUGAUGACGAAUACGAUAAUGCAUAUAAUAAUAAAUAAAAUGAUUUUACUUGUAUUUUAGACAUAAAUAAAUAAAAAUUUAUCUGUUAA